GAUGAACGCUGGCGGCGUGCCUAAUACAUGCAAGUCGAGCGAAUGGAUUAAGAGCUUGCUCUUAUGAAGUUAGCGGCGGACGGGUGAGUAACACGUGGGUAACCUGCCCAUAAGACUGGGUUAACUCCGGGAAACCGGGGCUAAUACCGGAUAACAUUUUGAACCGCAUGGUUCGAAAUUGAAAGGCGGCUUCGGCUGUCACCUAUGGAUGGACCCGCGUCGCAUUAGCUAGUUGGUGAGGUAACGGCUCACCAAGGCAACGAUGCGUAGCCGACCUGAGAGGGUGAUCGGCCACACUGGGACUGAGACACGGCCCAGACUCCUACGGGAGGCAGCAGUAGGGAAUCUUCCGCAAUGGACGAAAGUCUGACGGAGCAACGCCGCGUGAGUGAUGAAGGCUUUCGGGUCGUAAAACUCUGUUGUUAGGGAAGAACAAGUGCUAGUUGAAUAAGCUGGCACCUUGACGGUACCUAACCAGAAAGCCACGGCCAACUACGUGCCAGCCGCCGCAGUAA
rnacentral:rRNA from 1 species